AUAUAUAGAGAACAAAAAAACCAGAACGAAAAAAAAAAUAAACAAAAACAAAAAAUGGCGCAUAUUCCAUUUUCCAACGUUUUAAAAGUCGUC
rnacentral:ribozyme from 1 species